rnacentral:lncRNA from 1 species
AUUUUUAUGUUUUAGAUGAACAAUUUUCAUCAACAAUUUGUAAGGUUUUUAAUUCGAAUUUUUUGUUGAAGUGUAACAGGAAGGAAACAGAUGAGCAAAGCCGCUAAGGAUCCUACCAAGCCGAACAAGCUACCAAGGACAUAAUCCCAUCUUGAAUUCUGGUUCGUUAUAAUAAAUCACUGCAAAUCACUGCAAAUCACUGCUUAAACUUAUUGUAGACAGCUAUUUUUUUUGUCUGUCAACUUUAUAUAAUCAAACCUUUAUUUUCUUUUUUUACUUUUUGUCGUAUGAUAUAUGAUUUGAAUCUUGAAUUAAUUUGAUGUCCAUAUAUGAUAUAUCUGCUUAUCAUUUUGUUGUCUCACUUGGUUUUUUUUACUUAAAAAUGACAUUUUUAUUGCCAUAUUAUCUUACUAUUGAUGAUAAGAUUCAAUUCACAUUUCUGAAAAAAAAAGUCUUCUGAUUCACAAUUUGAAUCAUGAUCCGAUUGAUAACACCAUUGCGCUGGGCACUUAAAUCCAGCUAUUUUAAAGUGUUUCACUCUAUUCUAAGUUUUUUCUUUUCGUUCGCUUUGCUUAUGUUCCUAUCAUCUGAUUUUGGGGAUGCUUCAACAUUGAAUUUACUUAGGAUUAUGAGAUAUAGUAUAGUUGAAAGUUUUUUUCAUGUGAAAGGAAGCAAAAUAACCACAUUCAUUGUUCAUUGUAGCAGUGUAAAGCUUAGCAUCUGAUCUUGCAAAUUGUCUUCUUGAAAUUAAUGAUUUUUUUGGAAUUAUAUUAUUUCAGGGCACCACGAUGGGCUUGUGUGAACCUAGGAAUUUUCAUUUGCAUGCAAUUUUAGGGAUUCACCGGAGUCUAGGAGUGCAUAUAUCAAAGGUUUAUAUACAUUUUUGUUCCUUCUCAGUUUAGAAAUUUUAUAAUGGCUGAACCUUCUGAUUUUGUUACAAGGUGAGGUCCGUAACUUUGGAUACAUGGUUGCCACAGAACAAGUUUCUUUCAUGCAAUGGAAGAAACUAUGGAAUCUAUUUCUUAAUUACUUUCUUUGUGAAAUGUACUAUUGAACAAUUAUUAGAUACACUGAUCAACUCUUUCUUUCUCUCCUAUAGGACAUUACUUAAUUUUGAUUUGAUCGAUUAGCUCUUUCUUUACACAUGGAAGAUAUCGGUGCUGCCAAAUAGUGGCUAUAGCAGUAUAGCGUAGUAGAAUGUUAACAACUAUUGCUCCACGAUACGCGAUUCAGUACAAAGUGUUUUCAAGUAACUGCUUUAGCUGCACUAUAAGCCUAUAACACUAGCAUAAUAUAGCGUAGCAGAAUGUUAACAACUAUUGCUCCACAAUACGCGAUUCAGUACAAAGUGUUUUCAAGUAACUGCUUUAGCUGCACUUUUAUUUUGAUUUUUAGGUUUUAGAUGAACAAUAUUCAUCAACAAUUUGUAAUGAAUCGUUUGAUCUGGUGUUUAAUUCAAUUUUUUUGUUGAAGUGUAACAGGUAGGAAACAGAUGAGCAAAGCCGCUAAGGAUCCUACCAAGCCUAAGAAGCUACCACGGACAUAAUCCCAUCUUGAAUUCUGGUUCGUUAUAAUAAAUCACAGCUUAAACAUAGUGUAGACAACUACUUUUUUUGUCUGUCAACUUUAUAUAAUCAAACCUUUAUUUUCUCUUUUUACUUUUUGUCGUAUGAUAUAUGAUUUGAAUCUUGAAUUAAUUUGAUGUCCAUAUAUGAUAUAUCUGCUUAUCAUUGUGUUGUCUCACUUGGUUUUUUUACUUAAAAAUGACAUUUUUAUUGCCAUGUUAUCUUACUAUUGAUGAUAAGAUUCAAUUCACAUUUCUGAAAAAAAAAAGUCUUCUGAUUCACAAUUUAAAUCAUGAUCUGAUUGAUAACACCAUUGCGCUGAGCACUUAAAUCCAGCUAUUUAAAAGUGUUUCACUCUAUUCUAAGUUUUUUCUUUUCAUUCGCUUUGCUUAUGUUCCUAUCAUCUGAUUUUGGGGAUGCUUCAACAUUGAAUUUACUUAGGAUUAUGAGAUAUAGUAUAGUUGAAAGUUUUUGUCAUGUGAAAGGAAGCAAAACAGCCACAUUCAUUGUUCAUUGUAGCAGUGUAAAGUUUAGCAUCUGAUCUUGCAAAUUGUAUUCUUGAAAUUAAUGAGUUUUUUUGGAAUUAUAUUAUUUCAGGGCACCACAAUGGGCUAGUGUGAACCUAAGAAUUUUCAUUUGCAUGCAAUUUUCAGGGAUUCACCGGAGUCUAGGAGUGCAUAUAUUAUCAAAGGUUUAUAUACAUUUUUGUUCCUUCUCAGUUUAGAAAUUUUAUAAUGGCUGAACCUUCUGAUUUUGUUACAAGGUGAGGUCCACAACUUUGGAUACAUGGUUGCCAGAACAAGUUUCUUUCAUGAAAGGGAAGAAACUAUGGAAUCUAUUUCUUAAUUACUUUCUUUGUGAAAUGUACUAUUGAGCAAAUUAUUAGAUACACUGAGCAACUCUUUCUUUUUCUCCUGAAGGACAUUAUGUAAUUUCGAUUUGAUCGACUAGCUCUUUCUUUACUCAUGGAAGAUGUCGGUGUUGCCAAAUAGCGGCUAUAGCACUAUAGCGUAGCAGCAGAAUGUUAAUAACUAGCUGCUAUAGCACUAUAUUUUUUUAUUUUGAUUUUUAGGUUUUAGAUGAACAAUUUUCAUCAACAAUUUGUAAAGAAUGGUUUGAUCUGGUUUUUGAUUCGAUUUUUUUGUUGAAUUGUAACAGGAAGGAAACAGACGAGUAAAGUCGCUAAGGAUCCUACCAAGCCGAACAAGNNNNNNNNNNNNNNNNNNNNNNNNNNNNNNNUGAUUUGAAUCUUGAAUUAAUUUGAUGUCCAUAUAUGAUAUAUCUGCUUAUCAUUUUGUUGUCUCACUUGGUUUUUUUCCUUAAAAAUGACAUUUUUAUUGCC